rnacentral:lncRNA from 1 species
AGCCAGAGCCCCUUGGUAAGUGAAGCUCCUGAGCCUGCAGCCAGGGACCUGACACUGGGACCUGUGUAAGGAAGCCUGAGAAGAAGGCAGGUACCCUAGGGCUGGUGGCAAGCCAGCCAGGAGGAAGGAGACUCUUAAGUCUUGUCUGAGUUGUCGGAUUGCACUCUUGGCAGGCAUAGGUCAAACAGCAUGCCAGUGGGGCAUCUGCUGCUUGAAGACUCCCAUCUCAGGACAACUUGAUCAUGGAACGGAGCACUGUAGGCUCCACUGAGCUCAAGACAACUCCCACACAUCUGCCUGGUUUAUGUUUGUGCAACAAUGUGCCCACACUGCCUACACUGGGUCCUAAUGGGAAACAAAGUUGGGGUUAGCUCCUCUCUAGGCUAUCAGGUGAGGAAACUAUCCUUCCUGGUAACCUGUAAGGAGCUAACAAGAGUCCUUUUGGGUUCCAAUUUGAACUGCUAUUUUUGUCCAGCUGGCAUGCUUAGGGCAUUUCUUCUGUAUGGGAUAAUUUGUAAACUGCAGUUACAGGAUUAACUUGUUCUGCUUUCUGCUUGUACUAAGGUAAAUAUUGCUAUUCGAGAUUACACAGAAGUUGUUCAGCCAGUCCUGAUUGGAAUGUAAACUUUGUGUUAACUCAGACCAAAGCGGGGAAGAAAGUACCAGGGCAUUUAUGUUUUUCUUUUUUUUUUGGUACCAGGGAUCAAACUCGGGUCCUUGUGCUUGCAAGGCAGGUGCCAGAACUACUGAGCUAAAUCCCUGGCCCCUCCAGGGCAUUUAAAAUCCAAUAGGCCACCAGACUUUUACAGAAGGAAACAGUAAGCAGGAUAAAGAAAAGUCAUAAGUUUGUCCUGAGUCAAUUUAAACAUAAUUUAACAGACUUGUCAUUGGAAAAUCCAUAUCUUGAGAUGUUCACAGGUUUAAAAAAAAAAAAAAAGACCAAGCUUCUCCUAGGGGUGAACGUGCUGUUGGGGCACCCCCUUCACACCACAGUCAGAGAUUUCUACAUGAGUAUAGACUGUAAAGGCAGGGAUGUGCAGCUGAGAAAACAGAGCGUGACUGUAGAUUACAGAGGUAGCGAAGGUGGUGCCCCCCCCCAUCCGUGAUAUUGUGCCCAACACUGGUCUCCUGACUGAACAACAGAUGCAGACUGUGGCCUCCUACUGUGAUCUUUUGAAUUUUGCUAACAAUUUCAUUAGCUGCUGAGUCCCGGGACCAGCUUACAUUCACCUGGAAUAGACUGAAAUGGUGGAAUUAGUCAGACUCAUGGUCAGGGCAUCCACUUAGGCCCUAAGGCCUGACCUGAGGUCAUAAGUUAUGGAGAGAGAGAUGCAAUGACCAAAAGGGCACUGGUGCCACCUAGUUCACAAGAAACGUCUGGUAGGAAAUUUGGGCUCCUAUGGGGACACCGCAGAGCUCAAGAGGUCUCUGUCCUGCUGCAGGGAUGCCCUCAGGAGGAUCCCAGACCUAGUCUUCUCUCUCUCUCCCCUCUCCAUAGACCCUACAAAGCACCAUGGGCAACAUCCUGCUAACCCCUCCCACCUCACCAUGAGGCUGUAUCCUUAAUAAUUAAAAACAAUUUGCAAUAAAGUUUGGGCCCAAUAUGAACCAGGGGACGGAGAACAGUGGCCAAAAAGUGGCAGUCUAAAUUAUAAUACUAUUCUCCAGUUAGAUCUCUUUUUCAAAAGUCAAGGGAAAUGGUCAGAAAUCCCUUAUGUGCUGGCUUUUAUGACCCUCUAUUGAAAACUAUCCCUCUGCAAAGGCCCAAGAGAUACCGCCCUUUAAAAGGCUUCUGAACCACACAUUGGUAUUACUAAUGACCCCUCUUUAGAUUACCACAGUCUCUCAGGGGAACCAAGUGGGACCCUCUCAACUUCCUCAUAAUCCUCAAGCCAGUGCAUAUGCACCACCCUCUCCCAGUGACUCGGAACCCUGUCCCAGGCUAGCUCUUCAGAGAGGCUAAGACACCUUAAACCCCUCCCAGUGACCCCAAGGCCACAUUAAGUCCUGCAGGACAUGUGUGGAGUGGAGCUUCUUACUCUUCCAGGUCGCAACCUAUCCUGCCUUGGAAGAUGACUGGGGCAGGGGGGGAUCAUCUGAGUCCAAGUCCCUUUUCAGUCACAGACAUCAACAAUGCAAGGAGCACUUAGGUCGAUUUUCUGAGGAUCAUCCUAGGUUUGCAAAUGAGCUCCAAACUUUGUCCCUUGUUUUUGACCUUUCUUGGUGAGAUGUGCAGUUUGUUCUAGCUGCCUGUUGCACACCAGGUGAAAAACAAAGACUCCUUGGCCGGGAUUUACCUCAGUGGUUCUGCCACCUGCCUCAAAAGCUCAAGGUCCCAAGUUUGACCUCUGGUACCGCAAAAAACAAGCAAAAAACAAAGACUCCUUGAGUAAGCAAGGUGAUACACAGAUCAUCAGUUUGUGGUAGAUAGAGAGAAAAUCAGGAGAUGUUAGCCAUACCACAUACUGAUCCAAAUUGGGAUUAUUAUACUACAGGAGGACUAGAGAUGAGAGCUAAGACGGUAGCAGAAAACCUGUAAACUACAAAAAAGUUAACUACAAAAAAAAAAAAAAUGAGAGAGAUUAUCCAAGAAAAGGAAGAAAAUCCAGCUAUCUUUCAUAGCCAGCUAGAGGAAGCCUUCCAAAAGUAUGUAUUCUUCACCCAGCGGGGAAGGGCUCUCUUGGGACAUUCUAUUAGACAAUCCACCCUAGAUAUCCACCAGAGACCACAAAAACUUCAGAUGGGACCUCAAACCACUGGCUGGACAUGAUCUUCUCCACGUUCAACAACUGGGAUCAGAAAGAGGGUGAAAGGGAAAGGAACCGAGAUCGGAGACAGGCAAAAAUAAUGGUCACCACAAGUAGUAACACUCAAGCCCAGAUUGUCCAAGGAAAAACCUGAGAAAACAGAAAGGGUUCUUGCUUUAAGUUCAAAGAUACUGACUGGUUGGUUGGUCACUGGGCUUGAGAAUGUUCACAUCCACCGCCUGGACCCUGCCCAGAGUUUUGAGACGCUGAUCUCAACCCAUGGCAUUGGAAGGUCCACUGUCCACAGAGAGAUGCAGCCAGCCAAAACUUUAAAUGCCAACCCAGUGGAUGAGGACGGAAGGAGCCCAAGGCAAUUCACAAUCCCCCCAUCAGAAAACACAUCCAUCACCAUCAAAGUACCCUGGGGAGCCUUGGACAUUAGACUUCAAGGAACAUUUCACCACAGUCUUCUGAACUUCUGGGGAUAUCAACAUCUUCCAACUGACCCCACAAUCCUCAUUUCCCCUGUAGAUCAGUAGGGAUGGCGUUCAUACUCAGCAGGAAGCAGUUCUGGAAAAUUGAGACCAUCAAGCUUCAACAAGCUAUAAUGAAUUAUGGGAAUCAUGUCUCUCACAGGGAAGUUGAAGCAGGAAGCAGAGCAAGGACAAGUAAACAACAGAAAGCUGAGAGACAAGAAUCCAGAAGCCAGACAGAGCAAGACAGAAACCAGAUAGAGACAACUAUGCCAAAAUAUCAGGAAAACAAGAUAAUAGUGACUCUGCACCCCAGCCCCAAGAUUCCAGGCAUGUGUAAACCCAAAAGUACACAACCUUGGCCUGCAGUUUUGACACCCCACCCACAGUGGUCUUUUGAGGCCAUGACACUUUUUCUAAAACCUCCCACGUCAAACUCCCCCCUCCUAAUGAGUGGGCUGAGUCACGUACCCCAUUGGCCCAUAACUCCUGUCAAUCCCCACCUGUAGACCCUCCCAUAACCCCAGGAUCCAAACAAACCCAGUAGCUGCCCCUGUUGGGACAUGAGCUCUUCUCACUGGCCCAGUCCCACCCUGUGGACCUUUACUUCUUUCACUUGCUCUUGUUGCUCCUUUUAAAUAAAUCUUACUCUUACUACUCUUUCUGAGUUUCCUGCUCAGUUCUUUGUUUGAGACACCAAGAAC